rnacentral:lncRNA from 1 species
GGAUGGAUGGGUGGGUGGAUGGAUGGGUGGGUGGGUGGAUGGAGUUGUGUUUUCCCUCCCAGUGAAUGUUGAACUUUUCAUGGCAGUCUAGUUGAUAACAGCACGACUGUAUGUGUUGAACGUGUAAACGACUAUGUGUUGAACGUGUAAAUGACUGUGUUGAACGUGUAAAUGACUAUGUGUUGAACGUGUAAAUGCUUUCAUCAAACAUUAGUCAAGCCAGUUGUUCUACUCUCAACCUUUUGUUUAAAACGGAUUUAAAAUGAGAUAAUAUAAUACAAUGAGUUUAAUAGUAUUUCAAAUACUAGAGGCUUCUAAUAAUGAGGUGUUGCAAGAGGCUUCUAAUAAUGAUGUGAUGCAAGAGGCUUCUAAUAAUGAUGUGAUUCAAGAGGCUUCUAAUAAUGAUGUGAUUCAAGAGGCUUCUAAUAAUGUGUUGCAAGAGGCUUCUAAUAAUGAUGUGUUGCCAGAGGCUUCUAAUAAUGAUGUGAUGCCAGAGGCUUCUAAUAAUGAUGUGAUGCCAGAGGCUUCUAAUAAUGAUGUGUUGCCAGAGGCUUCUAAUAAUGAUGUGAUGCCAGAGGCUUCUAAUAAUGAUGUGUUGCCAGAGGCUUCUAAUAAUAAUGUGUUGCCAGAGGCUUCUAAUAAUGAUGUGUUGCCAGAGGCUUCUAAUAAUGAUGUGUUGCCAGAGGCUUCUAAUAAUGAUGUGAUGCAAGAGGCUUCUAAUAAUGAUGUGAUGCAAGAGGCUUCUAAUAAUGAUGUGUUGCCAGAGGCUUCUAAUAAUAAUGUGUUGCCAGAGGCUUCUAAUAAUGAUGUGUUGCCAGAGGCUUCUAAUAAUGAUGUGUUGCCAGAGGCUUCUAAUAAUGAUGUGAUGCAAGAGGCUUCUAAUAAUGAUGUGAUGCAAGAGGCUUCUAAUAAUGAUGUGAUGCAAGAGGCUUCUAAUAAUGAUGUGUUGCCAGAGGCUUCUAAUAAUGAUGUGUUGCCAGAGGCUUCUAAUAAUGAUGUGUUGCCAUAGGCUUCUAAUAAUGAUGUGUUGCAAGAGGCUUCUAAUAAUGAUGUGUUGCAAGAGGCUUCUAAUAAUGAUGUGAUUCAAGAGGCUUCUAAUAAUGAUGUGAUGCCAGAGGCUUCUAAUAAUGAUAUACAGUGCAUUCGGAAAGUAUUCAGACCCCUUGAUGUUUUCCACAGUUUGUUACGUUACAGCAAUAUUCUAAAAUUGAUUAAUCUACACACAGUACCCCAUAAUGACAAAGCAAAUGUUAUUUGUGACAUUUUUACAAAUGUAUUAAAAAUAAAAAAU